rnacentral:rRNA from 1 species
GACGAACGCUGGCGGCGUGCUUAACACAUGCAAGUCGAGCGAUGAAGUUUCUUCGGAAAUGGAUUAGCGGCGAACGGGUGAGGAACACGUGAAGAAUCUGCCCUCCACUUUGGGAUAACACAGGGAAACCUGUGCUAAUACCGAAUAUUGAAACAUAAGUGGCAUCACUGAGUUUUGAAAGAAUUUCGGUGGAGGAUGACUUCGCGGCCUAUCAGCUAGUUGGUGAGGUAAUGGCUCACCAAGGCAACGACGGGUAGCCGGCCUGAGAGGGCGACCGGCCACACUGGGACUGAGCCACGGCCCAGACUCCUACGGGAGGCAGCAGUGGGGAAUAUUGGGCAAUGGAGGAAACUCUGACCCAGCGACGCCGCGUGCGGGAUGAAGGCCUUCGGGUUGUAAACCGCUUUCAGUAGGGAAGAAGCGAAAGUGACGGUACCUACAAAAGAAGCACCGGCUAACUAUGUGCCAGCCGCCGCAGUAACAC